rnacentral:rRNA from 1 species
ACUACGGGUGGCAGCAGUGGGGAAUAUUGCGCAAUGGGCGAAAGCCUGACGCAGCGACGCCGCGGGAGGGAUGAAGGUCUUCGGAUCGUAAACCUCUGUCAGCAGGGAAGAACGGUCACUGUGCUAAUCAGCAGUGAAUUGACGGUACCUGCAAAGGAAGCACCGGCUAACUCCGUGCCAGCAGCCGCGGUAAUACGGAGGGUGCGAGCGUUAAUCGGAAUUACUGGGCGUAAAGCGCUCGUAGGCGGUAUGUCAAGUCAAGGGUGAAAUCCCCGCGCUAAACGUGGGAACUGCCUUUGAAACUGGCAAACUGGAGUGUGUGGGAGGAGAGUGGAAUUCCAGGUGGAGGAGUGAAAUCCGUAGAUAUCUGGAGGAACAUCAGUGGCGAAGGCGACUAUCUGGCACAUAACUGACGCUGAGGAGCGAAAGCGUGGGUAGCAAACAGGAUUAGAUACCCCUGUAGUC